rnacentral:rRNA from 1 species
GCAAAACGCGAAGAACCUUACCAGGCCUUGACAUGCAGAGAACUUUCCAGAGAUGGAUUGGUGCCUUCGGGAACGUCUGACACAGGUGCUGCAUGGCUGUCGUCAGCUCGUGUCGUGAGAUGUUGGGUUAAGUCCCGUAACGAGCGCAACCCUUGUCCUUAGUUACCAGCACGUUAUGGUGGGCACUCUAAGGAGACUGCCGGUGACAAACCGGAGGAAGGUGGGGAUGGACGUCAAGUCAUCAUGGCCCUUACGGCCUGGGCUACACACGUGCUACAAUGGUCGGUACAGAGGGUUGCCAAGCCGCGAGGUGGAGCUAAUCUCACAAAACCGAUCGUAGUCCGGAUCGCAGUCUGCAACUCGACUGCGUGAAGUCGGAAUCGCUAGUAAUCGCGCAUCAGCAACGGCGCCGUGAAUACGUUCCCGGGUCUUGUACACACCGAGUCGUGGGAGGGCAAGGGGCACGACAGGGGGGGGAUA